AACGAACGCUGGCGGCAUGCCUAACACAUGCAAGUCGAACGAGACCUUCGGGUCUAGUGGCGCACGGGUGCGUAACGCGUGGGAACCUGCCCUUAGGUUCGGAAUAACUCCCCGAAAGGGGUGCUAAUACCGGAUAAUGUCUUCGGACCAAAGAUUUAUCGCCUUUGGAUGGGCCCGCGUUGGAUUAGCUAGUUGGUAGGGUAAAAGCCUACCAAGGCGACGAUCCAUAGCUGGUCUGAGAGGAUGACCAGCCACACUGGGACUGAGACACGGCCCAGACUCCUACGGGAGGCAGCAGUGGGGAAUAUUGGACAAUGGGCGAAAGCCUGAUCCAGCAAUGCCGCGUGAGUGAUGAAGGCCUUAGGGUUGUAAAGCUCUUUUACCCGGGAUGAGAAUGACAGUACCGGGAGAAUAAGCUCCGGCUAACUCCGUG
rnacentral:rRNA from 1 species